UACUCCUACGGGAGGCAGCAGUGGGGAAUAUUGCACAAUGGGCGCAAGCCUGAUGCAGCCAUGCCGCGUGUAUGAAGAAGGCCUUCGGGUUGUAAAGUACUUUCAGCGAGGAGGAAGGUGUUGUGGUUAAUAACCACAGCAAUUGACGUUACUCGCAGAAGAAGCACCGGCUAACUCCGUGCCAGCAGCCGCGGUAAUA
rnacentral:rRNA from 1 species